rnacentral:lncRNA from 1 species
ACGAGAAGCAUAAAAGAAAGGUUAAUUAAGUGAGAGAAGUUAUGGGACACUUUCUGAUUGGUCUCCUUGUGGUUGCUCUGUCUAUUGGUAAUGUUAUUGAAGAGGCAUAUGGUGAAAUACCUAGACCAGUUUUGAGCGAAAUAGAGUGGAUUAAUAAGAGAGGUCCCUUUUUGGGGAUUGUAGCUCCAAACAACUAUGAGCUUAAUCCUCUCCUUGAUUCCCAAGCCUAUGUUCCAUAUCACAGACUGCCUUCCAUCGAUUUCGCAGGUAAAAUUUUGUUCUAUGUUUGUUAUUAAAUUAAUUUAUAUGAACUUAAUUCCUUUUUUCUUUCUUCAAAUUUGUAAAACAUGAUAAUUUUUUUUCAUUGAACGUUAUAUAUAUAUAUAUAUAUUGAUCUGGUUUAUAUGAAUCGUGCAGGUAGAAAAUUUCGUUUUGGAAGUAUAUUAAACCACCGGGUGGUAAUCGUGAUGUCAGGACUAGGAAUGGUUAGUUCAUUGAUUAUAUCAACUCUUUAUCCCGUGUAUAUCAAAGAACUCUAGUCUUUUUAUUAAUAUAAAGUUUGAUUAAAUAAUAUAUACAUAUAUAAACAGGUAAAUGCAGCAGUUUCAACACAAUUACUAGUGAACCUGUUUAGGCUGAGAGGAGUGUUGCACUAUGGAAUCGCUGGGAACGCAGAUGUUAAUCUUCAGAUUGGUGACGUCACUAUUCCUAGAUAUUGGGCCCAUUCUGGUCUCUGGAAUUGGCAGGUAGGGUUUUUCUAACCCGAAAACAAAAACAUAGACUACUUUUCACUCAAUAAUUUCAUUAAACCUUAGACUAUGAUUAACCUCAGUCUCUUAACUGGAAUUCUUAGCUUUGACUAAGAUACGGUUCUUACCUUUUUUUAGAUUUUAACUAAGAAAAGUUAAGAACCAUCUCUUAAAUAAGACUCUUAAAUAAGAGAUAUUAGAGCAUGAUUAACUUGAGUUCUUAGGAUGAGGUUCUAAGCGGAAGUUAAGAAACUGUUUCUUAAUUUUUAACUAAAAAAGCUAAGAACGGGUUCUUAAAUAAGGACUUUAAGAACCGGUUCUUAGCCUUUUUAGUUAAAAGUUAAGAAACAGUUUCUUAACUUCCGCUAAGAACUCCACUCUAAGAACCCCGAGUUAAUCAUGGUCUUAGAGCAUGAUUAACGGGGGUUUUUAGCGGAAUAUAAGAAUCUGUCUAUUAACUUUUAACUAAAAAGCUAAGAACAUUCUUAAUUUUUUUAAGUUAAAAGUUAAGAGACGGGUUCUUAUAUUCCGCUAAGAACUUCACCCUAAAAACCCGGUUAACCAUGCUCUUACCGAUACUAUGACAAAAAAAAAGACUUAUUAUCGAUACCAACCAAUAAUAAAUGACUUUGAAAAAGAAAUAUACUAAAUAAAAGUCAUUAAUAUGUCAGCAGUUACGUUUUCUGUAUAUCGUAAUUAUCAUCCAUCCAAAUAAAUUAGUGAUGACAUACUAAGCAAAUAUAGAAAACUCUUCUAAAUUAAUCAGAACUAGAUUUUAAUCCGCACGUCCGUGCGGAUAAUUUUUCAUUUUAUAAAUAUAUUUGAUAUUAUUACAAAUGUUUUAAAUAUAUAAAUUUCAUUUUAUUAUUAUAUAUUGUGUAACUCAUAAUUUAUUUUUAUAUUUCUUAUUCAACAUUAUUAACAUAUAGUGAUUUGUUUCAUACAUUUUACUUUGUUAUUUACUAAUAUACUUUCGAGUUAGGUCCAAGAAAAUAACAAUAUAAAAUAAUCAAAUAGAUUAUCUCCUUUAAAAUACGUUUUUUUCUUUAAUUUAUACAUUUUUCUAUAAUACAUUUUAAAAAUUUAUUUAUUUAUAUUAUAGAAAAGAAAUAUGUUUAAGAUAAUUUAUAUUUACAUGUUGUGUUUAAAAAUGUACUUUAACAUAUAUUAUUUUAGUAUUUAGCGGGAUUUAUAAGGAAAAACACUAUUUUGUUUAAAUAAUAUAGCCCUAUUAUUUUAGUAGAUUUUAUAUAUAGUAGCAUAUAACACAUUAUUUUAGUAAAUUUUAUUGAUAUAUGAUAUUUUGGAUGUUAUGAUAUUGAGUUUUCUUUUUAUUUUUAAUUAAGAUUUCAAAAUAUUAGAUUGUUUUAAUUUUACAACAUAUAUAGUUUUUUUUUUCUUGGUGCAUUUCAAAAAGUUAUUCUUUAUUAUCUAUGAUUUUAUCUUUUGUAAAAUUUGAAAUAUAUCAUUUUGUGUUUGAAUAUUUAUUUUCAAAAUUUUAUAUUUUGUCAAAUUUUUUUAAAAAAAUUACACAACUAUUUUUCAGUUUUGAAGAUUACAUGAAUUUUGAAUUUGUUUUUGUUACUACGUUACUACACUAUCUUCUAAAAAAAUAUUUGAAUUUUGGUAAUAUUUUCUAUUUUUUUCACAACAUAUUUCUUUAUAAUUAAAAUAAAAAAAUAUAAUUAAAAUUUGAUUUGUCAUUAAUAUUUUAAAUGAAUUACUAAAAUUUAAUAGUUUUCUAAUAACAUAUUUUUUAAAUAGUAUAUGAACUAAAGGUUAUUAUAUACUAUUAUAUUUGUAUAUAAACAUUUUAAACAAUAUAUUGUUGAGAGUUUAAAAAUAAAUAAAAAGAUAAUAUAUAGUUGUAGAUAUAAAAGUUUAACAUAUUUUAAUAGCAAAAACUCAAUAAUUAUAAUAUAGAUUUAGAUAUAUAAGGAACCUAAGGGGGAGAGAUAUGAGACUCACGAGAAGCAUAAAAGAAAGGUUAAUUAAGUGAGAGAAGUUAUGGGACACUUUCUGAUUGGUCUCCUUGUGGUUGCUCUGUCUAUUGGUAAUGUUAUUGAAGAGGCAUAUGGUGAAAUACCUAGACCAGUUUUGAGCGAAAUAGAGUGGAUUAAUAAGAGAGGUCCCUUUUUGGGGAUUGUAGCUCCAAACAACUAUGAGCUUAAUCCUCUCCUUGAUUCCCAAGCCUAUGUUCCAUAUCACAGACUGCCUUCCAUCGAUUUCGCAG